rnacentral:lncRNA from 1 species
CGCGAGCCGACUCGCUCAUUUGCCAGCCCUACUCUCGCCCUUGUCUUGUAGGGGACGAAUUCUACACUAUCACACUUACACCACGUCAUCAAUAACAGGCCAAUCAUCUUUCUUCUUUUCAAACAAAAGUAUAAUAAAAAUAUUUUUUCAAAAUCAUGAUGAAACAUAUAUCUCUGAAAGCAAAUUUUUGAUUGACUUGUUACGCCACGUCACCAAUAUACCCGUUGCAUUCUAGAAGUUUUCCUU